UAUGUGAUCGUCUCUCGCAUAUCAAUAAGCGGAGGAAAAGAAACUAACAAGGAUUCCCCUAGUAACGGCGAGUGAAGCGGGAAGAGCUCAAAUUUGAAAUCUUAAAGGGUUUCCCUUUACGAAUUGUAGUUUAAAGAAGUGUUUUCUGUUGAGGUUUUGGUAAAAGUUCUUUGGAAUAGGACAUCAUAGAGGGUGAGAAUCCCGUAUUUGACCUUUACUUUCAACUUUGUGAUACACUUUCAAAGAGUCGGAUUGUUUGGGGAUGCAGUCCAAAAUGGGUGGUAAAUUUCAUCUAAAGCUAAAUAUUGGCGAGAGACCGAUAGCGAACAAGUACCGUGAGGGAAAGAUGAAAAGAACUUUGAAAAGAGAGUUAAACAGUACGUGAAAUUGUCAAAAGGGAAGCGUUUGACGCCAGUGUUGUUUUUCUGAAAAUCAAUUAAAGAACUGUUUAUGCUAAGUUGUUUAGACUUUAUCAGCUAACUGUUUAGUUUUGAGCUUUUCCUUAAUGCACUUUUCAGUUAACAAGUCAACAUCAAUUUCUUUUGCUGUAAAAAAGCUUGAGGAAGGUGGCUUGAGAUUCGUCUUAAGUGUUUAUAGCCUCUUGCCUAUGCAGUCGGAGAGAUUGAGGUCUGCAGCGUAGAUCCUUCGGGGCUAAAUGCAUUUGUGCUAAGUUAUAACAUUUUAUAGACAACUUGUUGACUAUGAUUUGUCUUGUAGCUUACUCGCUUAUGUUAUUUUACCUACGCUUAGGAUGUUGAAGUCAUCGUAUCGCGC
rnacentral:rRNA from 1 species